UACGUAGGGUGCGAGCGUUAAUCGGAAUUACUGGGCGUAAAGCGUGCGCAGGCGGUUCGUUGUGUCGGUGGUGAAAUCCCCGGGCUUAACCUGGGAAUGGCCAUGGAAACUGGCGAACUGGAGUGCGGCAGAGGGGGGUGGAAUUCCGCGUGUAGCAGUGAAAUGCGUAGAGAUGCGGAGGAACACCGAUGGCGAAGGCAGCCCCCUGGGCUAGCACUGACGCUCAGGAGCGAAAGCAUGGGGAGCGAACAGG
rnacentral:rRNA from 1 species